CCUACGGGUGGCAGCAGUAGGGAAUAUUGCUCAAUGGGGGAAACACUGAAGCAGCAACGCCGCGUGGAGGAUGAAGGUUUUCGGAAUGUAAACUCCUUUUGUUAGAGAAGAUAAUGCCGGUAUCCAACGCCUAAGCACCGUCUAACUCCGUGCCAGCAGCCGCGGGAAGACGGCGGGUGCCAGCGUUACACGGAAUCACUGGGCGUAAAGGGGGCGUAGGCGGGAUAGCAAGUCAGAUGUUAAAUCCUAUGGCUUAACCAUAGAACUGCAUUUGAAACUGGUAUUCUAGAGUAUGGGAGAGGUAUGUGGAAUGCUUGGUGUAGGGGUAAAAUCCGUAGAGAUCGAGAGGAAUACUCAUUGCGAAGGCGACCUGCUAGAACAUAACUGACGCUGAUGCGCGAAAGCGUGGGGAGCAAACAGGAUUAGAUACCCGUGUAGUC
rnacentral:rRNA from 1 species